UACGUAGGGUGCGAGCGUUUGUCCGGAAUUAUUGGGCGUAAAGAGCUUGUAGGCGGUCUGUCGCGGUCUGCUGUGAAAAUCCGGGGCUCAACCCCGGACUUGCAGUGGGUACGGGCAGACUAGAGUGUGGUAGGGGAGACUGGAAUUCUGGUGUAGCGGUGAAAUGCGCAGAUAUCAGGAGGAACACCGAUGGCGAAGGCAGGUCUCUGGGCCACUACUGACGCUGAGAAGCGAAAGCAUGGGGAGCGAACAGG
rnacentral:rRNA from 1 species